UUCAAUUAUCGCUAAAAAAAGUCGAACACAAAAAAUUAAUAAAACAAAAAUUAAAGAUGAGGAAAAACUCAAUUAUCGCUAAAAAAAGUCGAACACAAAAAAUUAAUAAAAUAAAAAUUAAAAAUGAGGAAAAACUCAAUUAUCGCUAAAAAAAAGUCGAACACAAAAAAUUAAUAAAAUAAAAAUUAAAAAUGAGGAAAAACUCAAUUAUCACUAAAAAAAAUCGAACACAAAAAAUUAAUAUAAUGAAAAUUAAAAAUGAGAUAAAACUCGAAUAUCGCUAAAAAUAGUCGAACACAAAAAAUUAAUAAAAUAAAAAUUAAAAAUGAGGAAAAACUCAAUUAUCGCUAAAAAAAGUCGAACACAAAAAAUUAAUAAAAUAAAAAUUAAAAUGAGGAAAAACUUAAUUAUGACUUAAAAUAGUCGAACACAAAAAAUUAAUAAAAUAAAAAUUAAAAAUGAGGAAAAACUCAAUUAUCGCUAAAAAAAAGUCGAACACAAAAAAUUAAUAAAAUAAAAAUUAAAAAUGAGGAAAAACUCAAUUAUCGCUAAAAAAAGUCGAACACAAAAAAUUAAUAAAAUAAAAAUUAAAAUGAGGAAAAACUUAAUUAUGACUUAAAAUAGUCGAACACAAAAAAUUAAUAAAAUAAAAAUUAAAAAUGAGGAAAAACUCAAUUAUCGCUAAAAAAAAGUUGAACACAAAAAAUUAAUAAAAUAAAAAUUAAAAAUGAGGAAAAACUCAAUUAUCGCUAAAAAAAGUCGAACACAAAAAAUUAAUAAAAUAAAAAUUAAAAUGAAGAAAAACUUAAGUAUGACUUAAAAUAGUCGAACACAAAAAAUUAAUAAAAUAAAAAUUAAAAAUGAGGAAAAACUCAAUUAUGACUUAAAAUAGUCGAACACAAAAAAUUAAUAAAAUAAAAAUUAAAAAUGAGGAAAAACUCAAUUAUGACUUAAAAUAGUCGAACACAAAAAAUUAAUAAAAUAAAAAUUAAAAAUGAGGAAAAACUCAAUUAUCGAUAAAAAUAGUCAAACACAAAAAAUUAAUAAAAUAAAAAUUAAAAAUGAGGAAAAACUCAAUUAUGACUAAAAAUAGUCAAACACAAAAAAUUAAUAAAAUAAAAAUUAAAAAUGAGGAAAAACUCAAUUAUGACUAAAAAUAGUCGAACACAAAAAUUAAUAUAAUAAAAAUUAAAAAUGAGGAAAAACUCAAUUAUCGCUAAAAAAAAGUCGAACACAAAAAAUUAAUAAAAUAAAAAUUAAAAUGAAGAAAAACUUAAGUAUGACUUAAAAUAGUCGAACACAAAAAAUUAAUAAAAUAAAAAUUAAAAAUGAGGAAAAACUCAAUUAUCGCUAAAAAAAAGUCGAACACAAAAAAUUAAUAAAAUAAAAAUUAAAAAUGAGGAAAAACUCAAUUAUCGCUAAAAAAAAUCGAACACAAAAAAUUAAUAAAAUAAAAAUUAAAAAUGAGGAAAAACUCAAUUAUCGCUAAAAAAAGUCGAACACAAAAAAUUAAUAAAAUAAAAAUUAAAAUGAGGAAAAACUUAAUUAUGACUUAAAAUAGUCGAACACAAAAAAUUAAUAAAAUAAAAAUUAAAAAUGAGGAAAAACUCAAUUAUCGCUAAAAAUAGUCGAACACAAAAAAUUAAUAUAAUGAUCACUACACUAUUCAAAAAAACAAAAAAAAAAGAGGAAAAAAGAUCCUAUUCCUAUAUACCGUUUCCCAAACAAAAAAUGAAGGUAAAUAAAUAAUAACGUAAAAAAUUUAAAAUUUAUAAAUUAAAAAAUUUUAAAUUUUCGUACAUUAGAAAUAAAAUGUUUAUCAAAAAGAAAAUAAUGUGUUCGAAAUUAAAAUAUGUAAUAUAUUGAAAAUUAAAAUAAAAAUUUAAAACAUUGUAAAAAAUUUAAAAUUUAAAAAAUAUUGAAAAUUUAAAUACAAAAUUUAAAAAAUUAAAAGAUAAAAAUCAAACAGAAAACGAAGGUAAAUAAAUAAUAUUGUAAAAAAUUUAAAAUUUAUAAAUUAAAAAAAAAUUUAAAUUUUCGUACAUUAGAAAUAAAAUGUUUAUCAAAAAAAAUAAUGUAUUCGAAAUUAAAAUAUGUAAUAUAUUGAAAAUUAAAAUAAAAAUUUAAAACAUUGUAAAAAAUUUAAAAUUUAAAAAAUAUUGAAAAUUUAAAUACAAAAUUUAAAAAAUUAAAAGAUAAAAAUCAAACAGAAAAUGAAGGUAAAUAAAUAAUAAUGUAAAAAAUUUAAAAUUUAUAAAUUAAAAAAUUUUAAAUUUUCGUACAUUAGAAAUAAAAUGUUUAUCAAAAAGUAAAAAUUAAAAUAUUUAAAAAUGAGAUUGUAAAAAGAAAAAAUUACUGCAAACACUUAUGUUAUUAGCUGAGCCAAGGCCAAUAUUAUAAUUUAAGAAUCACUUGUAAGAACGAAAGUAAA